AGAAAUUUUGGGAAUGAAAAAGCUCCUGCCACAACAUCUUCAGAGUCAGACAAGCAUUGGAGCAGGGUUUACAGGUGAGAACAGGCACCCUAGUCCAUCACUGAUGCACAAAAGAUCCAACUGAUUGCUGCCAAUUUGGAGGAGGAUUCUUCAUUAUCUGCCACUGUCACUUCUGGUACAGACUCAUUGACCUUUUGUGGGCCCAAAAAACUAUGGGAGCAAUUCAUCAAAGAGGCUGGCUUGGACGGAAUAGUAGAACAUCAAAAAAAUGGGAGAACCUGAAAACAUGAUACAAGGAACUGAAUAAUCCCAAGACUGGGUCGGGAACUGCAUCUAACUGGAAAUAUUAUCAGAAUAUGCAUAAUGUUUUGGGUGGUCGGCCAUCAAUUGGCCCUCCUCUGGUGGUGGCGUCAUUCACUCCAGCAGAUGGGGACUCUACUGCUAUUCUUGAGGUGAUUGUUAGUGGUCCCUCCACCUCAACCUCUGCUGGUGAUCCCUCAACCGAUGAUCCCUCAACCUCUGCCUUCGCUGAUGGUCCCCCCACCUCAACGAAUGGGCGACAACUACUGAUGACGUAUAUUUCUUCUUCUUUGAAUUGACAGACUGGACGGAGUUUUGGCGUAUUGCUGACCCCCACAGUCUUAAGACAUAUUUGCCUUUGAGGGGUGUCCCAUUUUAAAGUCACAAGAUAGCCCUUAACACAGGGUUUUGAGGGUUAGUGAGAUUGAGGGUUGAGCUUGAAAAUUAAGAUUGAGGGUUAAAAUAGGAAUUGGGAUUGGGCCUUUAUCUCCCCUUAGAGGGAUUGCACUUAUGGGACAUGUGCACCUUACUGUCACUCGCACACUUUAUUGCACACUGUGUGCCCAGAAUUUAAUUUUUCGCAAUUUUAGUCCUGCUUUAGUUCUGUUGCUCAGUGAUUGCUGUCUGUGUCAGUAGUCUGUGUGCAUGCUACCUGCACUACCUGUCUGUAUCUCUUGUAUGUCUUGUGUAUUUUGUGCUUUUCCUGCUGCUGCAACCUAAAUUGCCCUUUGGGACAUUAGUAAAACUUGAACUUGAAUAAGUCAUCCGCAGACAAGACAAUACUACUAAAAAGUAAACCAAUAUUAACAAUAAUGAAAUAAGCAAAAAUAAUAUUAAAAUUAUAUUGAAAUUUUAAAAUCUAUUUACAGAGUGGAAUGGUAGCCUAAUAGAUAACUUAGAUACAAUGUAUUAUUGUUUAGACACUUUAUUAAUGCUUAGAUAGUAUUUAGCCUAUUAUUGUAUUUACUUUUAGCAUGCUCUACUUUUAUCUACUGUGGGCAACAUGUUUUAAUUUAUUUAAUAACGAAUUUAUUUUAUGUUAGGCCUACAUCUUAAUAUUUUGUGUCAUUGAUCAUAGUUUAGUUCUUAACUCAAGUGUUUCCUCAGUGGGAGCCGUGUGCGCCACGCUGGUUCUGUGGCGCUGGCUUGGGGUCCGCUCUCCCCCAGUGGAGUGGAGGGUGGCCGGGUUGCCGCCUCCCGAUGCGGACGGCUCCAUGUGAUGGUGUUUUGUGUUUUAUUUAUGCUGCCCCUUCAUACUACAGUACAUGACCUACUGUGUGGAAGUAAGGGGGAACACAUACAAAACAAAUACACAUCCAAUCUUCAUCCUCCAAAAAAGAGCUGUAUGAAUUAUUCAUAAAACCGCUUACAGAGAGCCAACAGAUCCAUUAUCUAUCAAUCUAAAAACACUAACAUUUCUAGAUUUGAUGAUUUUAAAACUAUUCAAAUUAUGUUCAGAGCAACAAAUCAAUAGUUGCCUAGUAGUAUCCAGGGGUUGUUCCAGCUGAGAGAAUACAAACACAAUUUGAGAGUUACCUGUUUAUUCAAACAAACACCAUUAAGAACAAAUGCAAAAUGUAAUGUGAGAUUUUAUCCAAACUUAAGAAACACUCUUCAGAAACAAACCAUUGAAUGGUUAUGAGCUGGGCCAGUGGUUUUCUCUACGGUUAUUUCUUGUUUGUGCGUUGUUUGAUGGGCUUGGUACAUCUGUUCUGAUUAUUUUGUUCUUGUUCUAUCCAAACAGGUUGAUUUGUUCAACCGAGAUAAAUAUCAUGGACACUGAUGGCUGUAAAUUAAACUUUCAUUUUCUGUGAUUAAUAUAUAGAAAUAAGAGGGGGUAGGACCAGAAACGUUUUUAACUUCUUCUCACACCUGUUGAACAUGAACGAUAUUAUCUGAGUUGCUCAAUUGUUGUUCAUAUGUUGCUGAGGAUCCUGUUUUUUUAUUGCUUAUAAAAGUUUUAUUUUGUGUUUGUAUUAUUUAAAUUUUUAAUUUUUCAAUAAAUUGCCCUAAAAACACUCAGAAAAACAACUAAUGUAGAAAUUUAAGAUUUUGGCACAAUAAGUAGAAUUAGUAGGCAACAUACAGAUGAUUUCAGGUCACAAUUGAGCAGAAGUAUCAAGUAAAAGAUUUAGCCUAAAUGUGCUCAAAAUAAUGCGCCAAUAAUCUACUUCAAUUUUAUUUCAUUUUACACAUAUCGAGACUUGCACUGAUUAUGACUUUGUGGUGAUGAUUUUAAACCUAAUUUUCAUAGUAAUGAUUUUUGUUGAGUUAUUAGUUACAA